UGGUGGAGUGAUUUGUCUGGUUGAUUCCGUUAACGAACGAGAUCUUGACCCUUCAAUGACAGUUGGAUCGAUGAAUACCAAUGCGUGGAAGUCCGAGCCAAUAGCA
rnacentral:rRNA from 1 species